UACGUAGGGUGCGAGCGUUAAUCGGAAUUACUGGGCGUAAAGGGCUCGUAGGCGGCCAACUAAGUCGGACGUGAAAUCCCCAGGCUCAACCUGGGAACUGCGUCCGAUACUGGAUGGCUUGAAUCCGGGAGAGGGAUGCAGAAUUCCAGGUGUAGCGGUGAAAUGCGUAGAUAUCUGGAGGAAUACCGGUGGCGAAGGCGGCAUCCUGGACCACGACUGACGCUGAGGAGCGAAAGCCAGGGGAGCAAACGGG
rnacentral:rRNA from 1 species